UACGAAGGGGGCUAGCGUUGCUCGGAAUCACUGGGCGUAAAGGGUGCGUAGGCGGGUCUUUAAGUCAGGGGUGAAAUCCUGGAGCUCAACUCCAGAACUGCCUUUGAUACUGAGGAUCUUGAGUACGGGAGAGGUGAGUGGAACUGCGAGUGUAGAGGCGAAAUUCGUAGAUAUUCGCAAGAACACCAGUGGCGAAGGCGGCUCACUGGCCCGUAACUGACGCUGAGGCACGAAAGCGUGGGGAGCAAACAGG
rnacentral:rRNA from 1 species